UACGAAGGGUGCAAACGUUGCUCGGAAUUAUUGGGCGUAAAGCGCACGUAGGCGGCUUGGCAAGUCGGAUGUGAAAUCCCUCGGCUCAACCAAGGAAGUGCAUCCGAAACUGGCGAGCUAGAGUACGAAAGAGGAUCGCGGAAUUCCCGGUGUAGAGGUGAAAUUCGUAGAUAUCGGGAGGAACACCAGUGGCGAAGGCGGCUUUCUGGACAUUUACUGACGCUGAGACGCGAAAGCGUGGGGAGCAAACAGG
rnacentral:rRNA from 1 species